GACGAACGCUGGCGGCGUGCUUAACACAUGCAAGUCGAACGAAAAGAGGGAAAGAGCUUGCUCUUUCCGGAAUUGAGUGGCAAACGGGUGAGUAACACGUAAACAACCUGCCUUCAGGAUGGGGGCAACAGACGGAAACGACUGCUAAUACCGAAUAAGUUCCAAGGGCCGCAUGGCCCAUGGAAGAAAAGGUGGCCUCUACCUGUAAGCUAUCGCCUGAAGAGGGGUUUGCGUCUGAUUAGCUGGUUGGAGGGGUAACGGCCCACCAAGGCGACGAUCAGUAGCCGGUCUGAGAGGAUGAACGGCCACACUGGAAUUGAGACACGGUCCAGACUCCUACGGGAGGCAGCAGUGGGGAAUCUUCCGCAAUGGGCGAAAGCCUGACGGAGCAACGCCGCGUGAGUGAUGACGGCCUUCGGGUUGUAAAACUCUGUGAUCCGGGACGAAAAGGCAGAGUGCGAAGAACAAACUGCAUUGACGGUACCGGAAAAGCAAGCCACGGCUAACUACGUG
rnacentral:rRNA from 1 species